rnacentral:rRNA from 1 species
UGGGGAAUCUUGCACAAUGGAGGCAACUCUGAUGCAGCGACGCCGCGUGAGCGAUGAAGCCCUUCGGGGUGUAAAGCUCUUUCGGCAGGGACGAUAAUGACGGUACCUGAAGAAGAAGCUGCGGCUAACUACGUGCCAGCAGCCGCGGUAAUACGUAGGCAGCGAGCGUUGUUCGGAAUUACUGGGCGUAAAGAGUGUGUAGGCGGUGCUCUAAGUUCGGUGUGAAAUCUCCUGGCUUAACUGGGAGGGUGCGCCGGAAACUGGAAUGCUUGAGCGUGGGAGAGGAAAGCGGAAUUCCUGGUGUAGCGGUGAAAUGCGUAGAUAUCAGGAGGAACACCUGUGGUGUAGACGGCUUUCUGGACCAUAGCUGACGCUGAGACACGAAAGCGUGGGUAGCAAACA